CUAAAGUAGUGCACUAUAUAGGGAAUAGGGCUCUGGUCUAAAGUAGUGCACUAUAUAGGGAAUAGGGCUCUGGUCUAAAGUAGUGCACUAUAUAGGGAAUAGGGCUCUGGUCUAAAGUAGUGCACUAUAUAGGGAAUAGGGCUCUGGUCUAAAGUAGUGCACUAUAUAGGGAAUAGGGCUCUUGUCUAAAGUAGUGCACUAUAUAGGGAAUAGGGCUCUGGUCUAAAGUAGUGCACUAUAUAGGGAAUAGAUCUUUGGUCUAAAGUAGUGCACUAUAUAGGGAAUAGGGCUCUGGUCUAAAGUAGUGCACUAUAUAGGGAAUAGGGCUCUGGUCUAAAGUAGUGCACUAUAUAGGGAAUAGGGCUCUGGUCUAAAGUUGUGCACUAUAUAGGGAAUAGGGCUCUGGUCUAAAGUAGUGCACUAUAUAGGGAAUAGGGCUCUGGUCUAAAGUAGUGCACUAUAUAGGGAAUAGGGCUCUGGUCUAAAG
ensembl:lncRNA